CUGUGGCUUCCUCCCUGUUCUUCCGCUCACGAUGGAGUGGUGGUUCCACUCUGUAGCAUGGUAGUAGGAAUCCCUUACUUGAGCAUCUGCAUAUCCAGCACCUUAUCGGGUCCUCCCCCAAGGUGAGGGCAUGUGGCUCAUUAUUUCUGUGCAGCUAAUGAGCCAAAGGAGACUUGGGAACUUAGACCACCUGGCACAGGUUCACUGGCUCUAAGUCGGGUGUCUGUGUCCCCCGCUGCCCCCUGGCGAAAGCGGCUGGUGGAGCCACUGUAGCCUGGAGCUCGCACCCCUCCAUCAGCCCUGCAGCCCCUGCCUCAGGGCUGACAGCCCACCACCCACCACUCACUCUCCCGCCUCCCAGCCUCAGGUAUCAAGUGUCUUUCACAGAGGUGACAUCAGUGUCUCUUGUAAAAGAAGUAAGGGAUGUGUAAGAGCUGGACAUGAAAGGUUACUCUUUGGCCCCAACCCCUUCCAUGCCUCCCCGACCCAAACUCCCUCCAUGAAGGUUCUGGAACAUCCUUCCAGCCCUUUUCUAAGCAUUUACAUACAUAUUCAUGUGAAUAUAUUUUAAAAUGAAUGUUGCCAUACAAUAUAUAUCGUACU
rnacentral:lncRNA from 1 species